AUGUAGGUUUGCAGUAGGGCAAACCGUAGUUAUCGCCGUGGACCGAGCAAGCCGGCCACGCGGCCGAGGCGGCGCAGCAACCAGCGGGGCUGUACGCACAGCCGCCCUGGCUGCCCCUUUCAGCAUGGGGCGAUCGCACGCGGGACCAAGGAGGUUGAGGGCACUCUUGUCUCCUGCUUGUUGGCACAACAGCAACUCUUUGCCCUUGCGCUCUUUGAGGUUUUUUUUUUUUUUUUUUGAGCAGCAAUUACCUCGUGAUAUGCACAUUUGUCAAUGAUGUCUAUCCGCCUGUCACACGGUUGUGGCAGGCGUUCAAAUACAAGCGCCCAAACCCCAAACAGUACUGUGCCUGGAUAUGUGUGUGGCUCGGGAGAUGGGCGCUAACUGUAUUAGUAUAAUCAUUAAAUUUUGGUUUUAAUGCUGGUUUGGAAAACUUCCAGGCCUUUCAUCGAGCCAUCGGAGCUCUUGUUUCAUUGCCAGCAGAAACUAGAAUAGAUGAGCUGCGGAGCAUCCCCAGGAGUCAAUCAUGCCUGGUACUCUCAGCCGAAUCCAGGCCUCUGAUGAGGAGGUGACUCGAGGCAGGAUAAUGGAGCACUUCGAAUAGUACAAGCGGCAGCAGCGAGGGGCCACCGCUACCAUAAUGCUGAUGGCGGCCGGGGCACUGGGAGCUGGGAUAGCCUUCACGGUCAUUUUUCUCAUUCAUGGACUAGCGUCUUUGCUCGCCAAGCUAACGGGUUGGGAACUGGCCAGAGCGCAUGUGGGCUGGGUGGGCACCCAUGUAGUAUCCUUUUGCGUCGGAAAGGCUGUCUCGCCCUUUGAUCCUUUCCCAAGCCCAUUCCAGCCGUUCAUGGAGAUCUGCAAAAUUCAGAUGGGCAAAGGUGAUGACGUAUCCGUGUCCUGUUUCAUGCCGCCUAAGGAUGCAGCAUCUAUGCUUCAUCUCCUCAUAAACAAGGACAAGAUGACGAGUUCCUCUCCGUCCCGGGGAUUAUCGCUCAACGACAUGACCUUCCCUCUCGGGUUGCCGGCGGCUAAAGGUAGUGGAUCUCGCCACCGUCCAUCCUCCACGACACGCAGAACGACUGGUGCCAGUGGCAGUAGUAAGUCUAUGUUCAAACUUCUCAAGUCUUCCGGCGGUUACUAUGGUGAUAGCGAUGAUGAAGGAGCCAGCGCAAGUUCUGCCUUAGCCAGGAGAAUGUGAGCGGACUGUGGCGGCCGGGCUCCGCACGAUCUUCUCGGCUAGCAUUUUAGCAAGCCCAGGGAUUUUCUGCUUCUAGCGUCUGACUGCGCCAUCAUCACCAUACAUACUGUAGCAGUUCUAUCUAGUACGCAAAAACUGUAACUCUGACAAACUCUCCCCUGUGCUCAAAUCUGAAAGGCAUUCAAAUCUAAAAGGCAUUCAAAUUGCUGAUUCAAUGUUAAGUAAUAUGUGCACAACAUAUUACUGCCAGCAGUCCACGUUUGCAAUCUAUCCAUAGUUCAUGUUCUUUCCAUUGUGUUUGUUACCUAAGUAAAUAAAUAAAUUAUCGUGUCCGUUCCCAAAGGAAA